rnacentral:rRNA from 1 species
GGAGUUUGGACCGUGUCUCAGUUCCAAGUGUGGGGGACCUUCCUCUCCAGAACCCCUACCGAUCGAUGGCUCGGUGGGCCCGUUGCCCCGCCGACUACCUAAUCGGACGCAUCCCCAUCCCUUAGCGGUAAACCUUUGCUUCAUUUCAGAUGCCAUCCACGAAGAACAUAGGGUCUUAAUCCGAUUUUCAUCGGGCUAUGCC